CAAUGGCGUAUAUUAAAGUUGUUGCAGUUAAAAAGCUCGUAGUUGGAUUUCUGGCAGGAGCGACCGGUCGGCCCAAGUGGUGUGUACUAGUGUUGCAUCUGGCCAUAUUUGCGGAGAGCGUGUGUGGCAUUAAUUUGUCGUGCACGGGACCCGCAUCGUUUACUGUGAGAAAAUUAGAGUGUUCAAAGCAGGCUUAUGCCUUGGAUAUGUUAGCAUGGAAUAAUAAGAUAAGACUUUGGCGUCUAUUUUGUUGGUUUGCACACCAAGGUAAUGAUUAAUAGGGAUAGUUGGGGGUAUUCGUAUUUAAUUGUCAGAGGUGAAAUUCUUGGAUUUAUGAAAGACGAACUUCUGCGAAAGCAUUUACCAAAGAUGUUUUCAUUAAUCAAGAACGAAAGUUAGGGGAUCGAAGAUGAUCAGAUACC
rnacentral:rRNA from 1 species